rnacentral:rRNA from 1 species
GUUUAAAGGGUACUUAGACGGUAAAUAAAGCCCCAAGAGGGAACUAAUAUACUAGAGUUUGAUGUAAGGAAGCAUGAAAGUACUGUUGGUGUAGAGAUAAAAUUCUAUCAUACCAAAUAUGGCACAGGUUUAGGCGAAAGCAUCUUCUUAUGUAAUAACUGACGUUGAAGGACGAAGGCUUUGUGUCUCGAACAGGAUUAGAUACCCCAGUAGUCUAAGCAGACAACGAUGAAUGUCAUAGAUUAGAUUUAAUUUAUUCUAUAAAUGAAAGUGUAAGCAUUCCACCUCAAGAGUAAUUUGGCAACAUUGGAACUGAAAUCAUUAGACCGUUUCUGAAACCAGUAGUGAAGUAUGUUGUUUAAUUA